rnacentral:rRNA from 1 species
GAUGAACGCUGGCGGCGUGCUUAACACAUGCAAGUCGAACGGGAAACCUUUUAUUGAAGCUUCGGCAGAUUUAGCUGGUUUCUAGUGGCGGACGGGUGAGUAACGCGUGGGUAACCUGCCCUAUACAGGGGGAUAACAACCAGAAAUGGUUGCUAAUACCGCAUAAGCGCACAGGGCCGCAUGGUCCGGUGUGAAAAACACCGGUGGUAUAGGAUGGACCCGCGUUGGAUUAGCCAGUUGGCAGGGUAACGGCCUACCAAAGCGACGAUCCAUAGCCGGCCUGAGAGGGUGAACGGCCACAUUGGGACUGAGACACGGCCCAGACUCCUACGGGAGGCAGCAGUGGGGAAUAUUGCACAAUGGGGGAAACCCUGAUGCAGCGACGCCGCGUGAAGGAAGAAGUAUCUCGGUAUGUAAACUUCUAUCAGCAGGGAAGAUAGUGACGGUACCUGACUAAGAAGCCCCGGCUAACUACGU